GCGCGUGUGCGCGCGCGCGCGCACAAAUAUAUAUAUAUAUAUAUAUAUAUAUGCGU
rnacentral:sRNA from 1 species